CAAUGACUGAAAUGUGAAGAUCAGCGGUUGGUCCGAAUGGUAUCAUUUUUGCCCUGCUCUGGAAAUUAAGCAGCUCUGAACUGAUAAAGUCCAUAAUUUAACACGUAGAGCAAAUUGCUAAAGCACUUAACCAGUGAGUUCAUGUCCUUUGUAGGGACAUGGAUGAAGCUGGAAACCAUCAUUCUGAGAAAACUGUUGCAAGGACAG
rnacentral:lncRNA from 10 species